AAAAUUUAAAAUUAAAAUACUAAAAUAGUAAAUAAUUAUUUAUUGAAACUUAAAUAAUUUGGCGGUAUUUUAGUUCAUUUAGAGGAAUCUGUUUAAUAAUUGAUAUUCCACGAAUAAAUUUACUUAAUUUAUAAUUUUGUAUAUCGUUGUUAAAAAAAUAUUUUUUAAUAAAAUUAAUAUUUAACAAUUAUUAUAAAAAUUUAGAUCAGAUCAAGAUGCAGAAUAUAAUUAAGAAUAUAAUGGAUUACAAUAAAUUUAUUUAUAUGAAUAUUAAUUUGUAAUAAUUAGUUGAAAGUGGAUUUAAAUGUAAUUUUAUUUAAUUUAAUAAAAUGAUUUUAUAUUAAAAUAUGU
rnacentral:rRNA from 1 species